GAGGAUGGAGGGAUGGAUCCAUGGAUGGAUGAUGGAUGGAUGGACAGAUGGAACACCCAGCUGCACUCCUGGGGUGGCCUCUGCUGCUCUCACCAUCCGUGAAAGGCCAUAAAUGACUUUUCCACAGGCUCCCAUUGGCGCUGAUGAGUUUCCCUUCUCCUGCUGAUGGAUGGGGAGGAUCAGAGCAUUCCCGGCUUUCUCCGGGGUUUCCAGAGGGAAAAUGGGUUUCCCACCUGCCCGAGCACCCCGGGCAGCAGCCUGCAAGCUGACAGAGCUGUGACCGAGCACCAAGCUGAGCUCCGAGCAGGUUUCCCUGACACGGAGCCAAAUUCCUGGCUGGAUUUCAGCACAGAAUCCUCGGGAGGAAUUUAUCCGCUGGGAACAGAAACUCUGCGGGGCUGCACAGCCGGGGAAACCUCGGGAAAAGCAUCCCAAAAAAUCCACCGGGACCCCAAACAUGGGGCUGGAGAGAUCCUGUUAAAAAUGGGACGAGACUCCUGGUACUAAACAUGAUUUCGGCAUUUAUUUAUUUAUUAAAAGUGAUUUCAGCAUUUAUUCUAACAAAAAAGAAAGGUCUAAAACAACGGUGCUAAAAGUGACUUCAGCAUUUAUGACAAUAAAAAGAAAAGGCCCAAAACAAGGGGUACUAAAAGUGAUUUCAGCAUUUAUUUAUUUAUUUUGUUUAUUAAAAGUGAUUUCAGCAUUUAUUGUAAUAAAAAGGAAGGCCCAAACCAAGGGGUACUAAAAGUGAUUUCAGCAUUUAUUUAUUUAUUUAAAAGUGAUCUCAGCAUUUAUUCUAAUAAAAAGAAAGACCCAAAGCAAGGGGUAUUAAAAGCGAUUUCAGCAUUUGCUAUAAUAAAAAGA